GACAAACGGAUCAAAUUAAAAUUAAUAAUAGUAAAAAAGGAGGUUAAGAAUUUGUUUUACGAAAAAUAAUGCUUUUUAGGGAGGUGGAAUUUAGAUAAAAUGAAGUAAUUUAGUUUUUUCUUUUAUUUGAGGCCUCGAAAUUUUGUUUAUGAGACCGGGAUUAGAUACCCCGUUAUUCAAAAUGUAAACUUUAAUUGUUAUUUAUAAUUUACUUGAGUAUUACGAGUAUAAAUGGGGUGUGUUCUAAAUAUAUUUCUUAAAACUCAAAAAACUUGGCGGUGCCUUAUAUCCUUCCAGGGGAACCUGUCCUUUAAUCGAUAGUCCACGAUUUAACUUUCUUUCUUUUGAAUUGUAUUAAUCAGCCUGUAUACCGUCGUCGUCGGGUUAUCUUUAAGAGUUAUGAAGUUAUCAGUAAGAAUUAGAAGAGAUUUAAAUUUCGGUAGUUAUGAGACCGGGAGUUUGAUUUAUGUGGGUUCUAGACGUCAGAUCAAGGUGCAGCUUAUAGGGGAGUAGAGAUGGGUUACAAUAAUGAUUUAUUAUACGAAUUUUUUGUUGUGAGUAGCAAAAUUGAAGGAGGACUUGGAAGUAAUUGGUUUAAAGAUAAGAGAGCUUAAAUGAAAAUAGGCUCUGAGGUGCGC
rnacentral:rRNA from 1 species